UACGAAGGGGGCUAGCGUUGCUCGGAAUGACUGGGCGUAAAGGGCGCGUAGGCGGUGGACACAGUCAGGCGUGAAAUUCCUGGGCUCAACCUGGGGGCUGCGUUUGAUACGUGUUUGCUAGAAUGGGGAAGAGGGUCGUGGAAUUCCCAGUGUAGAGGUGAAAUUCGUAGAUAUUGGGAAGAACACCGGUGGCGAAGGCGGCGACCUGGUCCUUGACUGACGCUGAGGUGCGAAAGCGUGGGGAGCAAACAGG
rnacentral:rRNA from 1 species